GGGCAGAAAUGUGAGGUAUAUUCAGUAUGCUGAAGGAGCACCUGUGACUCGUGACCACGCCUCCUUGGCAGGAGGUCAGAACCCACUCCUGCUUAAAGGUGCCAAUCAGCAUGGCUUUGUCUAGCUUUCUUUCUCUCUUGAUCUCUCUUUGGAAUUUCUGUAGCUCUUUCCAUGAAGACAAGAAGCCCUUUCUCUGUCAUGAGUGCUUCUUUUGCAAACUCUGAGCCAGUAUCCAAGAUCUAUGAAUGGAUUUCCCAAUCCUCUGGCAUUAGAUAUAACUGUGGAUGGAAGGGGAAAUGAAGCUGUGUGAACUGAGGGGUUUUUCUCAUCUCAGCUUAUAACAGAAGCUAAGAAAGGCAGAGGAGGACCUGGAAGUCCUGCGUGGGCAUAUUAGUCAUCUCAGACUACCAAUCAAGAGGACCACGGAGUACCACGGAGUAGGAGCCCAAAGCCAGGGUCAAUGUCAGCAUAGCUGAGAUGCUUUAACAUUUGCUUUCUGACCGGUGUAUAUAGCUAACCCUAAAUAAGUAA
rnacentral:lncRNA from 1 species